UGGAUAAAUUAUUGUAUUCGACUGUAUUUACGGCGUGAAACAAGGGAUUAUACUAUUUUUAAAUGGAAAGUGAAUCAAUUAACUUAAUAGACACCU
rnacentral:pre_miRNA from 1 species